UCCUAGCCCCGAUAGUAGUGAAAAUCCUUUUUGUUUUUGUUGCCAAAAACAAAAAGAUUGCAACGGAUAGCUGGAUUAGCU
rnacentral:sRNA from 1 species